GCCCCCCGGCCCGGGAUAGCCCAGGGAAACCUGGAUUAAUACCGGAUGAGACGGGACCUGCGAUGGCGGGAUCCGGGAAAGGCGCUACGGCGCCGCCGGGGAUGAGUCUGCGUCCCAUUAGCUAGACGGCGGGGUAACGGCCCACCCGUGGCGACGAUGGGUAGCCGGCCUGAGAGGGUGGACGGCCACAUUGGAACUGAGACACGGUCCAGACUCCUACGGGAGGCAGCAGCUAAGAAUCUUCCGCAAUGGGCGAAAGCCUGACGGAGCGACGCCCGCGUGAACGAAGAAGGCCGUGAGGUUGUAAAGUUCUUUUCGGGAGGGGGAACAACCGUGGCAGGGAAUGGCCGCGGGAUGACGUGAAUCCCGGAAUAAGCCCCGGCUAACUACGUGCCAGCAGCUGC
rnacentral:rRNA from 1 species